GAGGGGUCUUAAGGGGCGGCGAGCGCAGGUCGGAUUUCCUCCGAGGCUGCCGAUCGGCGGAGCUCCCACCUUCCCUUAGAGCUCGCUGCAGCCGCCCUGCCCCGCGCCCUCCGGAGACCGGGACCAGACCAUGAUGUGGACACGCUGGCUCGCGCUCGCGCUGGUGGCGGUCGCCUGGGUCCACGCCGAGGAAGAACUAAGAAGCAAAUCCAAGAUCUGUGCCAAUGUGUUUUGUGGAGCUGGCCGGGAAUGUGCAGUCACAGAGAAGGGAGAGCCCACCUGCCUCUGCAUUGAGCAAUGCAAACCUCACAAGAGGCCUGUGUGCGGCAGCAAUGGCAAGACCUACCUCAACCACUGUGAGUUACAUCGAGACGCCUGCCUCACUGGAUCCAAAAUCCAGGUUGAUUAUGACGGACACUGCAAAGAGAAGAAAUCUGUAAGUCCAUCUGCCAGCCCAGUCGUUUGCUAUCAGUCCAACCGGGAUGAGCUCCGGCGUCGCAUCAUCCAGUGGCUGGAAGCAGAGAUCAUUCCAGAUGGCUGGUUCUCUAAAGGCAGCAACUACAGUGAAAUCCUAGACAAGUACUUUAAGAACGUUGAUAAUGGUGACUCUCGCUUAGACUCCAGUGAGUUACUGAAAUUUGUGGAGCAGAAUGAAACUGCCAUCAACAUCACUACCUAUGCCGACCAGGAGAACAACAAGCUGCUUAGAGGACUCUGUGUUGAUGCUCUCAUUGAACUGUCUGACGAAAAUGCUGACUGGAAACUCAGCUUCCAAGAGUUCCUCAAGUGCCUCAACCCGACCUUCAAUCCUCCAGAGAGGAAGUGUGCCCUGGAGGAUGAGACAUAUGCAGAUGGAGCAGAGACCGAGGUGGACUGUAACCGUUGUGUCUGUGCCUGUGGAAACUGGGUCUGCACAGCCAUGACCUGUGAUGGAAAGAAUCAGAAGGGGGCCCAGGCCCAGACAGAGGAGGAGAUGACCAGAUAUGUCCAGGAGCUCCAGAAGCACCAGGGCCCAGGACAGAUGUCAUCCUCCAACCCCCACCAUUUCCAAAGGGAACAAAGGAGGAGAAUCUGCACAAAGAGCAUUGAAAGGAGAGAUUUGGAAGGUGACGUUUAGGAAUAAUAAAGACUGAAAUCAACUGGACAAAUCAGAAGAGUUUAAGAAUAAGUGCUGAGAACAAAAACGAAUAUCAUCCACAGGAGAAAAACAGGAGCUCCACUGGCUAAAGGCAAGACAGUUUGCUCUUUGCGUAGAUGUUAUUCAAAUCUCUUAAUAGUAGACAUACAUGUGGGGAUACUUUAUCCCUGUAAAAAAAGAAUGAAAACAUGGUAGGCUAGGGUUCUGUACCAGAGGCAAACCCUGCAAUCAGCUACAAUGCAUCUCUGAAAGUCCCACAGGAAAGAACAGUUGAGAAAAAUGAAUCAUCUCUGUUCUCUGUUCCCUAAGAGCAGUAACACUCAAAUAACCCUCACUCGGCACUAGCAGUUCUCCAUCUGUGAGGCAAAAUUCUGAUUUACUCACUCAUCAAUUCAACAAUAUUGUUGAGGGAACAAUUAGAGAAGCAAAAAGAGAAAAAGGAAGUGAAUGGAUAUUUCCUACCAACUUUCAGAGACAGAAGGGAAACAGAAGCCAAACAGGUCCAUGGCCUUGAAAUUGCACUACUGCGUCUAUUAGGUUUGUAGGGCUGAGACACAUGCAAGAGGAAUUGAUGUCACCAGUCAGCAAAUCCCACCACAUUUCAGUAUUCUCUGAAAGGAAGUAAUCCCAGGCCAAGGAACAACUGCAGAGUCUGUUUAUUAGCUUGUGAGUCCACAGAGGGAGAAAGGAGGAGGGUGCUCCUGGUGUGACCUGAGAAAAGGAAUAGAGAGGUCAUGCAUUUCCAUAUCAAGGUUCCAAGUUAUUUUGCACCUCUGGAGCCAUGAUGAUAAGACUCAGGAAUUAAGAGCUAACGACGCCUAUUCCAAAAGUCUACUAUGUUUCAGAGGCCAGAAAAGAGAGAUAGGGCAAUGUGGUUUCUCUUUAUAAGGGAUUCACACAGCCUUGUGACAAGAUGAAUAAUAAUGAAUCUCAGCAAUGUUAAAAGUUUACGAAUAUAAUAUAUUUCAGGUGUUGUGGAGAGUGUGUUUUUCCAGGGUGGUUACAUUAGAGUGUAUGUAAAUGAAACACCCUUGACUUGUAAUAUGCACAACCUGAGCUACUGUAUGUGGCUGUCUUGCUUUUCUUUCUCCAGCUUCCAUGCUGUCACCCACAAGAAUCAAAAGGGAGUCCCAGAGUUCCACAUGAUCCAGAUAAGUCUGCUCCAUCCUGGCUUCCACUCCUUCAUCAGAGAGUAAAGAGAGGACCUGAAAAUUCUGUGUGCUCCUGACAAAACCCUCACCCUCUUUCCCCUCAACAACAUUCACAGCUUUGCCAUUAUGGUCUGUCUUGAGAUAACCAUAUCUAAUCUCACCGUGUCUUUUUCCCUUUUCAAGCUUAACAUGACAAGAAGCACAAGACCCCCAGUAUAUCCUUAAUCCCGUGGACUCUGAUCUCCCUAUGGCUCUUACCCUUCCUUUUUGGAUCCUAUUUACAACCCAUUCCCAAAUUCUGAAACCCUUCUACUGUGCCCUCUGGAACCUGCUAUCAAUCAUCAGCAAACCCCUUCUAUUCUCAACUUCUGUUAACAUUUCCCUUACCUUCUUGCUCUAACUGAAAUUUGACUUUCCUCUGAGGACACUUCUUCCCCUAUAGCCCUUUCAAGUUUUCUUUCUAACAUCCUCCAUACAUUUGACAUAAGUGAAUUCCUUACUUCUCAUUAUGGCUUCCAGAUAAUUCUCUCUCCCUCCUCUCUGCACACUUCGAGCUUAAAAUCUCAUCCCAUUAGACUUUUCCAUUCACUACCUUCCAUGUUACAUUCUUCUAUUGCUCCCCACCACCAUUCCUUGAUUUUAGGUGCUGGUCCUGCCAAGCCAUUCAACGUUACUUCUGUCAUAAUUCUUGGUGUAUGAUCCACCCAUUGACCUUCUUUGGACCUGGACCUUCUUUCCUUUAAGGAUCUUGUUUCCCAUUUUCCCUUAGUCACCCGCUCCAUGGUUAGAACUUAGAUUUUGUCAUUAGCAUUAACCACAACCACUCCAUUAUCUCAAUUCCAAGCAAUGAAACUCUCCAACCACUACCUUCUACCCCUCCAGCUCACUAUCUCUAGUACCUGACUCUAAGAACUCUUUGGCUGCCAUUAGGACCUGGAUACCAAUGAUCCUACUGCUUCCUCACUGUCCUUUCCCCUGCUUUACAUCCCUUACCCUUUCUAACACAGCUUAGAUCCCAUGGGUGGUUACAUCAUCACUUUCUAGCACAUAUCUGUCUUCCUUUGUCACACCUGUAUGGCCAAACCCCAACAUCUGGCUAACCCUACCCUCCUCCCAUUCUGUGCCUAUACACAAGCAAUUGAAUGUGGCUGGAGAAAAACACACAACCAUACUAAGUAUUCUCACUUUAGAUUUACAACCAUAAACCUCAAAUAUGCCUUCUGUGCUACCCAGGAAGACUGUCAUGUUUAUUUAGUUAUUCUCCUCUCCUCUCCUAGAUGACCGUUUCAUCCUUUCUCCUCAAACCUCCAAUACCAUCAUACCCAGCCUCACAUUCAGCUGAUAAACCUCCUAUUUCACUAAGAAAAUUAGAAGCAAGCAGAAGAGAAUUUCUACAAGCUCCCCAAACCACACUAUUCACUUUUGUCAUCAGUGCCUACAUACUCUGACUUAUGCAUAAUCUUUUGCAUAAUCUUACCUAGGCAAACCCUUCUACCUGUGCAUUGGACCCCAUCCUUUUGCCUACCAAGAGACAUUACUCAGCAAUUCUUCCCCCAUUCUACUUCAACUUUACCCUCUCCACUUGUUCAUUAUCAACAUACAAACAAGCUGUUAUUCCUCUCAUCUAAACAAAGAAAAAGAAAAGUGAAACCCUAACUUUCUCAGCUAACAUACAUUUCUCUGCUGCUCCCCUUUGAAACAAACUGUCUUCUGUGUUACCUCUCCAGUGAUCUAUUCUUAGUCCCCCAAAACUGCCUGUGUUCUUUCUCUCAAAUGAUCUCAUCUCAGUCCUCCUCUUAUUGACUUGUGUGCAGCUUUUGGCACAAGUGAUCACUCCUUCCUCCCUGAAACAUUUCCUUCGUUUGGCUUCCAGGUCACAACACAUUCCUCUUUUCCACUCUACUUUACUGUCCUUUCCUUCUCAUUUCCCUUUGCUGGUUUCUCUUAAUCUCUCUGACCUAUAAAUGUUGGAGGGUCCCAGGGUUCCGUUCCUGGACCUCUAAUCUUUUCCAUCUAUGACUGCUCCCUUGUAAGCACACUUAGUCUUACAAUUUGAAAUACCAUCUAUAGACUGACAACUCUCAGUUGCAUGUUUCAAGCCUGGACUUCUCAACUCCAAUUUCAGAUCCAACCAUCAAUUCAACAUGGCCCCUCAAAUGUCUGAAAUGGGCCUCUCUGACUUAACACAUCCAAACCAAAUUUCAGACUUUUGGAUCAGAAUAAAUGGUGACUCCACUCUCUCAGGUGACUCCACUCUCUCUUUUCUGCACACCCGUCAUCUAAUCUGUCAGUAAAUCCUAUCUGCUCUGCCUCCAUAACCCACUCUCCUCUCACCAUUUCCACUACUACCAUCUUGGACAAGUCAUCAUCUUUUCUUACCUGGAUUAUUAUUACAACCUCCCAACUGGCCACCCUGCUCUCAUCCUCAUCUCUCUUGGCUCUUUUCUCAAAAGUCACCAGAAAGAUACUUUUAAAAUAUAAGUGAGGUAAUUUUACUCCUCUGUUGAAAACCUUCUAAUAGUUUCCCAUCUUUUCUCAGAGUAUGAGCAAAAGCCAAAACCCUUACAAUGGCCUAUAAAGCACAAUGCAUUCCAGUCUCUUGUUAUCUUUCUGAUACCAUCUCUUACACUCUCCUCAUAUUCUCUUCAUUCCAACCAGUGGUCUCCUUGCUGUUACUCAAAUCCACCAGCCCUUGUCCAUCCCAGGGCCUGGCAUCCUCACCUCCUACAAAUUCUUCUUAAAAUUUAGUUUCUCAGUAAGGUUUUUCUCUGGACAACCUAUUUAAAAUCACAACCUUCCUUCCCUCCCCCUCCACUCUUUUUCCAAUCUGCCUUCCCUGCUUUAUUUUUCUCUAUACAACUCUUGACCAUUUGAUACACUACCUAUAAACAUUUAGUUUACAUUGAAAUAUAAUAUACACACAGAAAAGUACAUGUAAGUGUUCAGCUCAAUUAAUUUUCACAAACUGAAUGCAAUCAUGUAACUAGCACCCAGACCAAGAAACAGAAUAUUACCAGCACCUGCAGAUUUUCCUCAUGCUCCCUCCUAGCCACUGUGCCCUCUUCACACUCUAAGGGUAAGCACGACUCUAACUUCUGACAGCAUAAUUUUGCUUGUUUUUGUAUUUCACAUAAAUGGACCCAUACAGUGACAUACUACAUAUUUUAAUGAUCUGUUUAUUUACUGCCUAUUUUACCCAACUGCUAGCAUGUAAGUUCCAAGACAGAAGGAAUUCUUUUUGUUUAUUUCUGUAUACCCAAUGCCUAAAAGAGUAUCUGGCACAGAGUUGUAGCCCAACAAAUAUUUGAUGAAUGAAUGAAAUAUUGAACAAAUAGAAAUGAGAGUAGGAGAUUUAGGAAAGGCUUAACGUCUGAGCCAAAUCCUUCAGGAUGAUUAGGAGUCCAUGAAGCAGUCCCAAAAAAGAAAGGCAACCUAAGCAUAGGCAGGGCCUCUGUGGUGGUUUGGCAGAAUGAAAAAAUAAGCACAGUCUAGAACCAUGAGAAGUCAGUUAGCUGAAAGUAACGGCAAUAGCCAUGUGUUGAAAAACAGUGAGUUAUGAGGGUGGAAAAAUAGGCAGAUGCCCGAUCUCAAAGGGCUUUAUAUAAAUAAGUCCACGCACAGAGUUAGAAAGGAAGAAAAGUAAAAUAUAGGGGACUCUAGGCACUUCCAGGACACCAGGCAUUUUUAGGUGUUGACCUUUUGGAGCAUUUCAGAGGACAUGAAACAGGAAUUUCCUUGAAGUCAACUUAUUAAUAACUUUUUGUAGUGUCUCAGAAAAGAGUCUGUGGCCCCCAUGGUAAUGGUCAGAGACCUCUAACUACUUCUGAAUAUGUGAGAAAGGCUUCUGAAUAUGUGAGAAUAAUCUGAGGAAUAAGUAACCUCCAUUUUUCUUUCCUUUAAAGGAAUGGACAACGCAAAAUAAAUCUCUGAGUCUGUCUAAUUAUCCUUGUUUUACCGGAACGGGCCAAGGAGCCAGGAGCUCUGCUUUCCUCACCUGCUGCCCAUGACUUUGAGGAGAUGGCACCCCAUCUCAUGGGGAGGGAUAAGCCAGAGAUGCUGUCUCACCUACCACUGCUGUAUUUACUUUUGGAAUCUUCCCCUCUCCAGGGGUUCAUUGCAGACCCUCUGCUGACCUCAGACACCCUGCUGGAGUCACAGAAGAUAACAAAUGAUUUUCACCACCACCUUCUUAUCUCUACCAGCACUUGCCCUGGAGGGAUUCUACUGUGCCUCCCUCCACCCACAGGAGAUCUCUGGUGAGAAGAAGACCACUCUCCUAUAAUCCUGAGAAGGGCUCAGAACAACACUUCAGAGCUGGUCUGCCAGAACUGCUGCCUCUGCCAUAUCAGGAAGCUGGUAAAUCAGGAAGUCAUCACUGACUCCAGAGCCAAACCACACCUGCUAGAUUCACACAGGCAAAAGAAAGGAUGCCUCGUGCAAUAUCACCUCUCUCCCCAUUCAAAUCAAUUAGUGAUUCAAUCUGUGAGCAAAUGUAUCUGAUUAGCAGAGUUUAUGUCAUUCCCAGAACCCAAACUGUAAAGCAAUCUUAGAAAUGUA